rfam:Loxodonta africana unplaced genomic scaffold scaffold_11, whole genome shotgun sequence.
GCAUUGUUAGUUCAGUGGUAGAAUUCUCCCCUGCCAUGUGGGAGACCUGGGUUCUAUUCCCAGCCAAUGCA